ACCUCCAACAUCUUCACUCUCUCCUCCCCUAUAUUUCUCCUUCAUUAAACCCAUCUCUCCCCCCUUCCUUCUCAUCUUUUUUGCAUUUUUCAAUCACUUUCCAAAGUUACAAAUAUGGGCUGUGGAAAUUCAACAGCUACCAGUACUUCUCCAGCAGGUCCAGCUGACUCAGCCAAAGAUGUGCAAGAGGAUUCGUCUGUAGAUGAAGAGAAGAGGAGAAACUACGGUGGAGUUUAUGUUGGCAUACCUGCAGACCUCGUGACACCCGGCCAGAUACCUUCUACACACAAAGAAUAAUGAUGUUCAGAGCUGAAGACGCAGAUCAAGGGUUGUCCGAAGGGAAUCAGGGCUGAAAAGUGCUGUGCAAUAUUCUCAACGGGACAAAAUCUUAAUUGCUGAUUGGCUCAUCGGGACAUGACGGAGUCCUUCGAGAGCCAAUCGUUUAAUUGAACUCUCCGGAGACUGAACUGGAAUUAGAUUUGCUAUAGCGAGGUCAGAAGUCAGAGCACACUUUACAGGAAAUUGCUACCAGCACCUGGUUUCUCAGGACAGCGAUGCACAAGUGUUACGACAAUCAUGGAGCCACGACCAAAUAAACCCAGAGACUGAAGCAUGUUCGGUGGGCCUUAAUGUGAAACGCUCUCAUGAGCUCUCCUUAUAUUAUCUGUGAGGUGUCAAGCUGUUUAAAAGAAAGUUUCAAGGCAAUCUUUUGUCCUCUCAUCUAUUUUUUUUUCAUUUACCUGACUGUUUAACAUUAUAGAUCUUCAAGGACUGUGAAAGUAGGUCAGUGCUCACACAGGUAAGAGCAUGCAAUCUUGAGAAGAAGAAAGAAAGAUAAGUAUGUUGAGAGAGAGAGAGAAUCAUGAGAUGUCACUUGACAUUGUAAUCUGAGGACAAUUUUUUUCUUUGUAACGUCAGCAUGGAAUCAAAAUACACCCCGUUUACCCCCUAAAUGCACAUUUUUGUUUUCUUAUUAUGAAUGAGUCAUCAGAGCAUUUUGGGUAGCUCAGUCGGUAAAGCAUUGCGUUAGCAGCCCAAAGGUUAUGGGUUUGAUUUCCAGGGAACACACAUACUGAUCAAAUCUAUGGAUUUUUGCACUGUAAAGGGGGUUGCACACCGGCCGCACAGCUCAGCGUCGUGCCGCGUCGUGUCUAGGACAACUCGGAGGUAUCGUAAACCGGAAGUGCACAUUAAAUAGCGUGAGCUUUGUCAGAUAGCGUCUACUUCAAAAUGCAAAAUAUACGUUAGCAGCCAAUGUUAAUCGUUAAUGAUUUGGGAGAAAUAUGAUGUUAUUUAAUGCUAAACUAUGUGAGUGGCACUCUGUGGCGCGACAGGAAUUUCAGCAACUUCCUGAGUCGUAGCUGGGUGGCGCCGGUGUGCGUAUACUCAUAGAAAGCAAUGUGUUCAAGUUUUUUAGAACGGCGCUGAGUGUGCGUCCUGUGUGCGACCCCCUUUAGUCGCUUUGAAAACAAGCACCUGCCAAAUACAUCAAUGAAUUUGAAUGUAUGUCUACACUGUAAAUUCACAGCAUUUUUGUCAAAUCAACAUAUAUUUAUGUUUUACUUUAACCUAAAAAAAUAGGUUAAACAAUUUCAACUUGAAUUUAUAAGUUAUGUUAACUUUUUUAUGAAGCAAACUUAAUAUAGUAGUUUGAAAUGACUUUUUGUACAGUGUAUUAUUUUUUUGUAAGUUGAUUUAUAUUCCCAACUUUCCCAGCUUUGUUUGUUUAUAAACAUACAAAACCUAUGAAUAUGAAUGAAUAUGUCUACACUGUAAAAAAGUUGGUUUAAUUUACCUGGUUCCUUUAAAAUUUUGAGUUUAAUCAACUUGAAAAUAUUAGUUAAAAUAUCAUUACUCUUUUGAGUCAACUGAUUUUUUUUAGUUGAAUGAACUCAAAAUUUACCAGGUAAGUUAAACCAACAAAUAGUUUUUUUUUUACAGUGUAGGCAUGCAUGUGUAAAGUAAUUGUUGUGGAUUGUUUUUAACUGUGAUGAUGCUAAAUCCAGAACAAUAUAAGAUUAAAGGAAAACACCACCGUUUUGUAAUAGUUUACUAUGUUCUUAUCACAUUUACCAAUUAAUACAUCCCUAUCUUUUUUCAAUGAGUGCCCUUAAUCUUUGUACAGCACAUCAUGAAUGUGUUAGCAUUUAGCCUAGCCCCAUUCAUUCCUUAGGAUCCAAACAUGGAUGAAUUUAGAAGCCACCAAACACUUCCAUGUAUUCCCUAU